rnacentral:rRNA from 1 species
CGAAUGAACUAGCCCUGAAAAUGGAUGGCGCUUAAGCGUAUUACCCAUACCUCGCCGCCAGGGUAGAAACGAUGCCCUGGCGAGUAGGCAGGCGUGGAGGUCAGUGACGAAGCCUUGGGGGUGACCCCGGGUAGAACGGCCUCUAGUGCAGAUCUUGGUGGUAGUAGCAAAUACUCAAAUGAGAACUUUGAGGACUGAAGUGGGGAAAGGUUCCGUGUGAACAGCAGUUGGACACGGGUUAGUCGAUCCUAAGCCAUAGGGAAACUCCGUUUUAAAGUGCGCACUUGUGCGUCGCCCGGCGAAAGGGAAGCCGGUUAACAUUCCGGCACCUGGAUGUGGAUUCUCCACGGCAACGUAACUGAAAGCGAAGACGUCGGCGGGGGCCCUGGGUAGAG